rnacentral:rRNA from 1 species
UACAGAGGGUGCGAGCGUUAAUCGGAAUUACUGGGCGUAAAGCGUGCGUAGACGGUUAUUUAAGUCGGGUGUGAAAGCCCCGGGCUCAACCUGGGAAUUGCAUUCGAGACUGAAUAGCUAGGGUACGGUAGAGGGAAGUGGAAUUUCCGGUGUAGCGGUGAAAUGCGUAGAUAUCGGGAAGAACACCCGUGGCGAAGGCGGCUCUCUGGAACGCAACUGACGCUGAGACGCGAAAGCGUGGGGAGCAAACAGG